rnacentral:rRNA from 1 species
UCGAACGAGAAAGUGGAGCAAUCCAUGAGUAAAGUGGCGACCGGGUGAGUAACACGUGACUAACCUGCCCUCGAGUGGGGAAUAACCCCGGGAAACCGGGGCUAAUACCGCAUAACAUCGCAAGAUCAAAGCCGAAAGGCGCUUGAGGAGGGGGUCGCGGCUGAUUAGCUAGUUGGUAGGGUAACGGCCUACCAAGGCAAAGAUCGGUAGCCGGCCUGAGAGGGCGCACGGCCACACUGGAACUGAAACACGGUCCAGACUCCUACGGGAGGCAGCAGCGGGGAAUUUUGCGCAAUGGGGGAAACCCUGACGCAGCAACGCCGCGUGGAGGAUGAAGUCCUUUGGGACGUAAACUCCUUUCGACCCGGACGAUACUGACGGUACGGGUGGAAGAAGCACCGGCUAACUCUGUGCCAGCAGCCGCGGUAAUACAGAGGGUGCGAGCGU